AGGAAGCUGAUAGAAAUAAGUAGUAGUUCUAAUUAUGAUUAUUUUUCUGCUUACUAUGAGAAUGAGGUUAAUGAACCCAAUGAAAAAGUUCAGAUGCUCCAAGGAAUCAAAUGAAAUAUGUAGUAGGUCUGAUUAUUUUAAUAAGGAUGAAGCCAUUGCAACAUUUACCUUUCAUGGGAAGACCAUCUCCACUCUCGCUCUCUUAUUAAACUUUAUCAAUUUCUUUGGUAAAUGCUUCCUAAGUUUAUCUAAUAUGUAAUAUCAAACACUCUUUUAAUUUCAUCCUAUGUUCUGGCACAACUUUUGGGCUUGGCGUUUCUAGUUGACUUCACCA
rnacentral:misc_RNA from 1 species